rnacentral:rRNA from 1 species
ACUUUAUAUUCUUUCUUUAUACUCCGAUUUAUUUGUGAAAAGCAAGAUAAAAAAAAGCAAUAUUUCGUUGGGGCGACGAAAGUAAAACAAAUAACUGCUUUUCUCCUCAACAUCCAUAAAUGUACGAUAAUGAUCCUACCUUAAGAUUUAAAGAAAAAGUU